UCCUACGGGAGGCAGCAGUGGGGAAUAUUGGACAAUGGGGGAAACCCUGAUCCAGCAAUGCCGCGUGUGUGAAGAAGGCCUUCGGGUUGUAAAGCACUUUUGUCCGGAAAGAAAACCUUUGCACUAAUACUGUGAGGGGAUGACGGUACCGGAAGAAUAAGCACCGGCUAACUACGUGCCAGCAGCCGCGGUAAUACGUAGGGUGCGAGCGUUAAUCGGAAUUACUGGGCGUAAAGCGUGCGCAGGCGGUUCGUUAAGACAGAUGUGAAAUCCCCGGGCUUAACCUGGGAACUGCAUUUGUGACUGGCGAGCUAGAGUAUGGCAGAGGGGGGUAGAAUUCCACGUGUAGCAGUGAAAUGCGUAGAGAUGUGGAGGAAUACCGAUGGCGAAGGCAGCCAUCUGGCCUAAUACUGACGCUGAGGUACGAAAGCAUGGGGAGCAAACAGGAUUAGAUACCCUGGUAGUCCAUGCCGUAAACGAUGUCUACUAGCCGUUGGGGCCUUUGAGGCUUUAGUGGCGCAGCUAACGCGAUAAGUAGACCACUUGGGGAGUACGGUCGCAAGACUAAAACUCAAAUGAAUUGACGGA
rnacentral:rRNA from 1 species